rnacentral:lncRNA from 1 species
GGGAAGGGGAUUAUAGUUACGACGUAAGGGACAUAUUUGAUAUCAUCUGUGAAACGGUUAUUUUAUAACGGUCAACAAACUCGUGAUAGCGUCUGUAAAAUUUACGAAGGGAUGAAUUCAACUCCCCCAUUUGGAUCUCUUCGUUUAAUUAUAGCUUCCUUGUGAGCAGCAAAAAAGUGUUUGCACUUUAUAUACUUUAAGAUAGUAAUUGUCUUUAACUGUAAUAUAAACAGUACAGGUCAUGUCUUUGUGUCAACUUACCAAAAUAAAGAUUUAAUGAACGCCUGAACAUUUUGACAUUGUUAAUGUCUUUUAUACGUGCAUAUUUCUUCUAUUAUCACAAUUUCCUGUUAAUAAUUGACUAAGUAUCCUUAUCCCGACAUCGUCAGGACAAUUAUCGGAGAUACAUGUAUGAUGUGACCCAAUUCUUUGAAA